AGAUUGGGAUGCGGAGACUUAAGGACUUACAGGGAUGACCAAAUCAGGGGGAGUAAUACGUGCUGUACUCUUUUUCCUUCACCAUGGUUUUGUCCCAAUGGGUUUUCCUGGUAAGGUUUUAAUGAGGCAGCAUCCCCCAAGCGUAUUACUGAGAUCCUUUGGCAUCUACACGGAUAUGUCAUCCAAGGGGGAGUGUUAUAAAUCACAUGUUGGAUGGACUCCAUAACCGUGGGCCUUAUCCAUAUUCUAGAAGGCCCAUGUCCAUGUCCUAGAAGGCCCAUGCCCAUGUUCUAGAAGAUUCUCCUUAUGACG
rnacentral:lncRNA from 1 species